rnacentral:tRNA from 1 species
GUUAAGGUGGCAGAGUCCGGUAAUUGCAUAAAGCUUAAGACUUUACUAUCAGAGGUUCAACUCCUCUCCUUAAUA